ACAGAAAACACAAACUACUUCAAGAUUCAACAAAUUCCGGUCAUCGUCUUCUUUGUGUAGUAGCGGAGGAGUAUUACCCGAUCAUGGCGGCUGAAAGCUCUAAAUCUUCAACAUCGUCAGCAGAUCCGUACAUUGGAAGCUUGAUUAGUUUGAAUUCUAAGAGCAAGAUACGAUACGACAUGAGGGCAUUUUGUACAACAUCAACACCGAAGAAUCAUCCAUUGGAUUGCGCAACGGUAACCAAUUUGAUACGAUCUUUUUUUUUGAAAUGUUUUAUCCCGAUUUCCGGCUUUUCGUUGUAUUUAGGUCAAGGUUCUAAGAAUCGCAAAGAAGUUGAAUAAUUAAUUAUGAAGCUUUGUUUGCGAUCGACUACUUGAUCGACUCUUCCCUCUCCCUCACUGUUUGCGAUCGAUCGACGACGAACCUUCUGCCCAUAGGGCAUCCAUUUGCAGCCAUGGUGGAUUUAUCCUCUUUUUCGAUUAUUUACAUAUCUGAGCCUCACAUGGCAUGAAAAUUGGUCACAUUGGUAUUUCUUUCUUCACUUUUUUCUUUUUAAAACAAGUGUUACACUAUUUUGUUGGCAUACUUGUAAAAUUCUUGAGAGUUAGUGACUUCUGUCAAGAGAAUGAGUUUCUGCCAAUGGACAUAUCAAAGAAGAAAAAGCUUGAACAAGCCUUCGAUUCGAGUGGAUCAACAUUUCGGUUGUGACAGAAGAUAGGGUCUUGGUGCCUUUAAGGUUGGGAUGUUGUUCAUCAUAAAGGAGGGAAAGUUUGGUUCGAGCAUAUGAAUUGUUUAUUACAAUUGCAGACGCUAUUGGAGCAACAAUCGCAUAGCCUCGUCCUCACUUUGAUUGUGCAUGACGAAGAUUGAUAUCUCUCGUUUGUAGGACACAAUAAGAUUUUUUGUAUUUGCAUAAUUCUUGUUCAGUACUUAGUUUUGUCAUGAUACAACUUUGUGGUGGAUACAUAGCUUGAUAGUUGGUACUCAUAUAAGUAUUUGUACAACUUCGAAUUUUGUUUUAUCAAAUCAAUUCGUAAAAAACUUUCAU